rnacentral:rRNA from 1 species
GAUGAACGCUGGCGGCGUGCCUAAUACAUGCAAGUCGAGCGAACAGACGAGGAUCUUGCUCCUCUGACGUUAGCGGCGGACGGGUGAUUAACACGUGGAUAACCUACCUAUAAGACUGGGAUAACUUCGGGAAACCUGAGCUAAUACCGGAUAAUAUAUUGAACCGCAUGGUUCAAUAGUGAAAGACGGUUUUGCUGUCACUUAUAGAUGGAUCCGCGCCGCAUUAGCUAGUUGGUAAGGUAACGGCUUACCAAGGCAACGAUGCGUAGCCGACCUGAGAGGGUGAUCGGCCACACUGGAACUGAGACACGGUCCAGACUCCUACGGGAGGCAGCAGUAGGGAAUCUUCCGCAAUGGGCGAAAGCCUGACGGAGCAACGCCGCGUGAGUGAUGAAGGUCUUCGGAUCGUAAAACUCUGUUAUUAGGGAAGAACAAAUGUGUAAGUAACUAUGCACGUCUUGACGGUACCUAAUCAGAAAGCCACGGCUAACUACGUG